GGGAUGGCGCGGCUACACAUGCAGUCGACCGGUAGCACAGAGACCUUGCUCUGGGGUGACGAGUGGCGGAGGGGUGAGUUGUGUCUGGGUAUCUGUGCGAGGGAGGGGGAUAUCUACUGGAAACGCUAUCUCAUACCGCAUAUCCUCUCAGAAAAAAGAGGGGGACCUUCGGGCCUCUCUCUCUGAUAUGUGCCCAGAUGGGAUUAUCUAUUAUGUGGGGUAAUGUCUCACCUAAGAAACAAUCCCUAUCUUGUCAGAGAGAAUAACCACACACACUGUAAGAGACACACGCUACACACUCCUACGGGAGGCAUCAGUGGGAAAAUAUUGACACAGUGGGAGCAAGCCUGAUACACCCGUCCCGCGUGUAUAAAGAAUGCCUUCUGGUUGUAAAGUUUUUUCUUCGGGGAGGAAAGUGUUGAAGUUAAUAACCUUGUUGAUUGACGUUACCCGCACAAAACACACCGGCUCUCUCUGUGCCAGCAGCCGCGGUAAUACAGAGGGUGCGCGCGUUUAUCGGAAUUACUGGGCGUAAAGCGCACUCAGGCGUUCUGUCAAGUCGGAUGUGAAAUCCCCGGGUUUAACCGGGGAACUGCUUUUGAAACUGGCAGGCUCAAGUCUUGUAGAGGGGGGUAUAAUUCCUGGUGUAGCGAUGAAAUGCGAAUAGAUCUGGAGGACUACCGGUGGCGAAGGCAGCCCCCUGUACAAUUACUGACGCUCUGGUGCAAAAGCGUG
rnacentral:rRNA from 1 species